CAGGAGUCUGCUUUCAAGUUAGCAGAAUCAGGUAGCUUACUAUCCAAACAGAAGUGAUCCAGGCUAAAAUUUGCUGGACAAAAUUGAAAAAGGAAGCCUAAUUUAAAAAACGAGUAAGAACAGUAUAUAUACAAGAUCAAAAACAGUCUGAAGAACUAUCCAACAAAAGUUAUAUCAUGGCAUAGUCAAAUGGAAAGACAGAAAAUCAGAAAAAUUUGGAAAUCAAGAGAUUUGGAUUUAAGACACUUUUUACCACAAUGACUUUGGGUAUCCAAGAUUACUUGUUCUGGAUGAAAGAAUUAAAGGUCAGCCAUAGCUGAACAGCUGAGAAAUAUUCAAGAAGAUUAUUCUCAGUGGAG
rnacentral:lncRNA from 1 species